GACGGUUACAGUUCGAAUACUGCAUUUGCACAAGAUGGAUUUAACUUAUUUCAAGAUUCUCUGAUUUUAGGAUCUCUCACUCUGAAUUCUUAAUCUUUUUCUUGAAAAGAUGAACUGAUAUUUUUAUGUCUAUGUCUUUGUUUGCAUCCACUUUUUUGGCUCUCACUCUUUCAGCGUGCAGAAUCAAGUCCUUCGAGUAAGACGGUUCAAACGUCGAUUGAUGAUUCAAAUAACAUCAGCGAUUAUGGAAAUUUAGAGGUGACAUUGGCACCGAAAGAAAAGGGUAAAUCGCCCAAGGAUCUCUGUUUUACGGACGAGGCGACAGAACUGAGCACUGUCUAAGUUCCUCCUGAAUGGCUUUCAAAAUUCCAACUACCAUCGAGGUUCUCUGCCUCAGUAGAGUUGGAGACCAGGAAGGGAUAUCUCAUCAGCAGCCUAAAGUACUCUGAGAAACAGUGGAUUGCAAAAAAAAUUAUUGCAGAGUAGCCUUGUAUGGUUAGCAGGAUACUAGACUAAGUUGACUUGGAAACUGAAUGGAUUGGUAUGGUCUAAAAAUCUAUUGCUUCACCUCUUAAACUAAAAAGUUGCAAAAUAAUCACUCUCACCUUUUAAGUUCAUGACCUUUGUUCUUGUGUGUUUGUCAUCACAUGCAUUUAAUGAAGUUGUGACCAUUUUGGAGGUACAAGUCCAAAAAACUGCUACUUUGGUACUAAGAUGAACAGCUAAAAUUUCUGAGCCCAUUUGCCAAUGAAGUCCAGAUACAAAGGUUCAAGUACUUUGGGGUUGUAUUAAUUUUGCCUUUUUGUUUAGUUUUUUUGAUUUUGCAAUUUUUUAAAAUAUUCCUGUUGUCAAACCAUUAGAUAAAUAUUGGACAUAGAAUAGCUGAUUUUUUUCAGAUAUUUUGGGAGUCAUACAUUAGUUUUUCAAGUCUUGAAUGGGAGACAAA